GUUUUAGGGAUUCUUUAGUUGACAAUUAAUUGAGAGAGUUAAACUGUUAUCCAAAGACUUGGAUUCAGUAGAAAGGAAUGCUUGAGUUAAGGUUUUUGUUACGUAGAUAAAGCUCUCAGGUAGCAGCCCUGGGUGAGAAUAGAUGGUAAAUAUCUCUUUUCAAGCCUUAAACGUGUAAGACUCACAGUUAACUUCUCCUAGAUCCAGGAAAGGCCUAGAGAGGAUAGACCUGUCGCAUUAAUGGAGAUUCUCUACAGAUGCAAAUUUCUCCCACAAAAUAUGACUUUGCAAGGCCAUUUCAACUUGUUGGCCCUGUGGUAGCUAUUUCUAAAUACAUCAAAUAAAAGUGCUUUGGGGUGAAAUGUUUUGAUUUCCUUCAGGAUUUGCUAUCUAUCAUGUGAUGCUAUACCAGAGUCAGGUUGGAAAGUAAGCCACAUUAUACUUGGUUAAUAAACAUCUAAUGAGAUUUUACGGUUUGUAGGGCAAUACCUUCCAGGCCCCUUAGAUGGGAAUUUUGGCAAGAGAAGAAAAGGUCAGAUUUUAGUCCUCACCAUUAAGUAUUGUGGUGUGUCGUUAUAGAAUAGGAGGUAACUGAAAUGUUGUAUGAACCAGAUCUGGCUAAUGAGGAGAGGAGCUUCUGAGGCACAGAGCUGAUGGGCAUGUACUUUUGUUUUCUUUUUGCUCCUUUAUUUCUCUCUUUCCUGAAACAGGAUUGUUGCAAAUGCAGCACAAGGAUGAAGACCUAUAUGUUAAGGAUAGCAGAGAAGAGAGAGAGAGAGAGAGCCAGAGCCAUUGCUAGUGACAUCCCUGAACUACUAUGCUUUCCUCACUUCUCUCUAUCCCUAGAAUUCCUGUAGUUGAAUAAGCACUUAAAUGUUUACAUGUUAAGUUUUCCUAUUAGGGUUACUGUUCCUUGCCCUUGAAUGUAAUUUAAAUAGACUCAGCAGAUUUUAAAAUUUUCAUUCGAAUUUUAAGACUUUACAAAAUUUAUGAUAUAAAUUAUAUACAGCCGAUUCAAGUUUCAAAUUUAAUGGUACUGAGGAAAGAGAGAGACCCUCUCAUAUUGUUUUACAUUGUUUUGUACUCAGUACCUGUUUUAAGAAAAAACAAUCAAGUAAAACCAAAAACAGGCAGCCUGGCGCCAGGCCCGGAACCAGGCCUGGGUCUGCCUGGCCUAAACCCAGUAGUUAAAAAUCAACUCAUAAAAAAAAAAAAAAAAAAAUCAACUCAUGACUUAGAAACCGAUGUUUCUGACAUUGUAUAGAACAUGGUGAAACUCCCUACCCUGUUCUGUUUCACUCUGACCACCGGUACAUGCAGCCCCUAUCACAUACCUGCUGCUUGCUCAAAUCAAACACGACCCUUUCAUGUGAAAUCUUUAGUGUUGUGAACCCUUAAAAGGGACAGAAACUGUGCACUCAGGGAGAUUGGAUUUUAAGGCAGUAGCUUGCCAAUGUUCCCAGCUGAAUAAAAGCCCUUCCUUCUACAACUCGGUGUCUGAGAGGUUUUGUCUGCAGCUUGUCCUGCUGCAUUUCUUGGUUCCCUGACCGGGAAGCAAGAACUGAGGGAUGGCUGAGGCAGCCCCUUAGGCGGCUUAGGCCUGCCCUGUGGAGCAUCCCUGCCGGGGGACUCUGACCAGCCUGAGUGACACGAUCCAAAGAGCGCCCCUGGGUAGGCAGUUGUCCCGGUGGAACGCCUCACCAGAGCAGCGCCUAGCAGUCCCCCAUGAGGAUUAACACAGUGGCUGAACACAGGGAAGGAACUGGCACCUGGAGUCCAGACAUCUGAAACUUGUUUAUUCUAGUGGGCCUAACCUCUGAGACCAUCCUUAAACAUCUGUAGACUGGGAGCUGUACGUGGAUGGGAGCAGCUUCACUAACCCCUGCAAAGUGACUCUGAAAAAGACGACAAGCCCUGCUCCAGUCACACCCGGAAGCUGACUGGUCCACGCAUGGCCGAAGCAUGAGGAAACUCAUCGUGGGACUCAUUUUCCUUAAAAUUUGGACUUGUGCAGUAAAGACUUCAACUGACCUUACUCAGACUGAGGGCUGCUCCCAGUGUAUACAUCAAGUCACUGAGGCAGGACAAAAGAUUGCUACAGUCCUAUUAUUUUAUGGUUAUUAUAAGUGUACCAGAACUCUAAAAAGAAACUUGUUUGUAUAAUGCUAUUCUAUCCAAGGUAUGUAGCCCAGGAAAUAACCAACCUGAUGCAUGUUAUGACCCAUUUUAAGCCUCCCAUGAUCACAGUUUUUAAAAUAAAAUUAAGGACUGGUCCUUUUCUAAGUGACACAAGUAAAGUAAUAGCUAAAACAGAAGAAAGAGGGGUCUGCAAAAAUGUAACCUUAAAAUUUGACACCUGUGCUGCUAUUAAUAGUAAGCAGCAUGAGAUGGGAUGCGGUUCUCUAGAUUGAGAAAAAAGUUACAAAGCAGAAAAUAAGUAUAUCUGUCAAGAAUCAUAUUUAUGUGAAAUGUGUCAAUACUGGUCUUACGUCAUUUGGGCCACUUGAAAAAAAAUAAAAAAUAAAAAAGAUCCUGUUUGGCUCCAAAAAGGAAAAGUCAGCCCCUCCUGCACAAGUGGGAGCUGCAACCCUUUAGAACUGGUUAUCACAAACCCCUCAGACCCAAAGUGGACUAAAAAAAUAUGUAACAUUAGGCAUUGAUGGAAAAUGACUAGAUCCUAGCUUAAGCAUCCUAAUAAAAGGCAAGGUUCAAAGACACUCUCUAGAACCAGUAUUUCAGACUUUCUAUGAUGAACUAAAUGUGCCAGUGCCUGAGAUUCCAGGAAAAACUAAAAAUUUGUUUUUGCAAUUAGCCGAACAUGUAGCCCAGUCUCUAAAAGUCAUUUCGUGUUAUGUUUGUGGAGGAACUGUAACAGGAGAUCAAUGGCCAUGGGAAGCCCAAGAAUUAGUUCCUACAGGCCCAGUUCCUGAUGCAUUCCUGGCCCAAAAGAACCACCCUGACAAUUUUUGGGUUCUAAAUGUCUCAAUUAUUAGACAGUAUUGCAUAGCUAAAUAGUUCCACCCAGAAUUCCAUCAGGACUAGACUGCCCCCACCGGAUUAUACUGGAUAUGUAGACAUAGAGCCUAUGCUAAGCUGCCUGACCAGUAGACAGGCGGUUGUGUUGUUGGCACUAUUAAACCAUCUUUCUUCUUACUGCCCAUGAAGACAGGUGAACUUCUGGGCUUCCCUGUCUAUGCUUCCCACAGAAAACAAAGCAUAGCCACAAGUAAUUAAAAAGAUAAUAAAUAACCUCCUGAAAAUUUGUACAAUACUAUAGGCCUGCCACUUAGACACAAGAUGGCUCAUGGGAAUACUGGACCCCCAUUUACAUGCUCAACUGUAUCAUACGGUUGCAAGCUGUUUUAAAAAUCAUCACUAAUAAAACCAGUCAAGCCUUGACUAUUCUGGCCCAGCAAGAAACUCAGAUAAGAAAUGCUAUCUAUCAAAAUAGAUUGGCUCUUGACUACUUGCUAGCUGCUGAAAGAGAGGUCUAUAAGAAAUGUAACCUUACUAAUUACUGUCUACACAUAGAUAAUCAAAAGCAAGUAGUUAAAGACAUAGUCACAUGUGCCUGUACAAGUGUAGCAUGAAUUCAACCCUGAAGCCAUGUUUAAAAAUUGGUUCCCAGCACUAGGAGGAUUUAAAACUCUUAUAAUAAAAGUUAUAAUGGUAAUAAAAACCUGCUUACUGCUCCCAUGUUUGCUACCUGUACUUCUUCAAAUGAUAAAAAAGCUUCAUCAGUAUCUUAGUUCACCAAAAUGCUUCAGCACAAGUGUACUAUAUGAAUCACUAUCAAUCUAUUGCACAAAAAGACAUAAGUAGCAAAAAUAAGAAUGAGAACGCCCACUAAUAAAAAGUGAGAGUCUCAAAAGGGGGGAAAUGAGGAAAGAGAGAGACCCUCUCAUAUUGUUUUAUAUUGUUUUAUACUCAGUACCUGUUUUAAGAAAAAACAAUGAAGUAAAACCAAAGACAGGCAGCCCAGUGCCAGGCCUGCAACCAGGCCUGGGUCUGCCUGGCUUAAACCCAGGAGUUAAAAAUCAACUCAUGACUUAGAAACCAAUGUUCCUGACAUUGUAUAGAAGAACAUUGUGAAACUCCCUGCCCUGUUCUGUUUGACUCUGACCACCGGUGCAUGCAGCCCCUGUCACGUACCUGCUGCUUGCUCAAAUCAAUCACGACCCUUUCAUGUGAAAUCUUUAGUGUCGUGGGCCCUUAAAAGGGACAGAAAUUGUGCACUUGGGGAGUUCGGAUUUUAAGACAGUAGGUUGCUGAUGCUCCCAGCUGAAUAAAGCCCUUCCUUCUACAAUUUGGUGUCUGAGAGGUUUUGUCUGUGGCUCGUCCUGCUACAGUACUAACAGUAAGAAAAGUAUCUCUGUCUAUCUGUUUUAAAAUCUAUUGGAGAUAGAAUAGGAUGGGAUACUACUCAUUCUUCAUGUAGUUUUUUUUUUUUUCCUCUUCUCUUCAGAAAAUCUGUACCCCUACCUCACUGAUGCUAUCCCAAUAACCCCAGGCUUUAGUCACACAUAGGAAAUAGUUGCCAUUCUGUGCUUUCAUAAUGGUUAACCAUGCCUUUCACUUAAAGAAUUCCAGAAAUUGACUUUAGGAGAACUAAACAUUGAACGAAUCUUGUGAAGUGUUCUACCUUGGGAAGGAAUGCUAAACAAUUGAUUUACAGCCUUAUUGCUACUGGCCAGACCACCAGGUGACCCAUUACUCAAUAUAACCAUAGCAACAAGAUGCACUGACCUGCAUACCCUAUGUCUCAUGUGCUUUGCCCAGCUCGGCCUGCAUACCUUACCCCUGAUGUCAAUUCCUGUGCUUUGCUUAACAAAAAUAAUAAUAAAAAAACCUGCUGCAGAUUUUGGCUUUUUCAGAGAGCCAGCCAGAGGAUCCUUACACCUCAGCUCUGCUGUCUCCCUUGUGCUCAAGCACAAGUCCCAAAAUAAAAGCCUUGUCUAGGAAAUCUUGUUGGCCCUUUGUUAACUUCUGUUACAUGGGAGCCAAAGAGCCUGUGGUCUGUAACAUGUUCUCUGGCAACCAUGAAGUGAUUAUGGGAUGUGGAGAGCAUUUUUCUCCAAGGAGGAGGCUUGUGAGCCAGCAGGAUGGUGGGGUGUGUGUGCCCCCUUCAUGGGUGACAGGUGGUCACCUGAAUCUUUGACUCAGCAUUGCCACAACUGGUUGCCCUGAAGCUGAGAUAUGUGUAGUCCUAGACUAGAAGAUGAGAUUCAGCUGAGACCAAGGGCUCAGUUGCAGAAAUCAGUGAUCAUGAGGCUGUGAAAUCCUAAUAACAAACUGAAAUCCUUGAAAGACUACUGGACUACUAGAAAUAGAAACCAGUCUUACAUAGUGAAAUCUCAAAGAAAAGGCCAAACCAAGAUGACGCAAAGUUACACCAUAGACUUAGGUAAGUCACUUCUCUAUGUAUUCACAUCUGAUUCUGUAAAGUGGAUCAAUACUAUUUACUUCACAAGCUUGUUUUAAAAGAUUACAUGUGUUAAUGUAAAUGAAAUAUCUACAUAAAUUACAACGUGCUCAACAAACUGUUAUUGUUGAUAUUGUGAAAGUAACCAAAGGAGCCCCGAAUGUAGUCAGACCACAUGACUUUCAGGUCACGUUCCAUCAUUUGGCUCUUUCGCUUAUCCUUUCUAAACCUAGAUUUCUCUAUCCAUAUGAAGUAGAAGGGACAUGUGUGAUGGUGUGGGCUUUGGGAAGGGGCAGUGUGUGAGGUGGGGAGGCAAAGAGAUGGCAGAAGGUUGUUGCUAUGCAACACAACCCCAUGUUUUUAGAAAAAUUAGUAAUGCCUUAGAAAAGCACUGAGAAUGUUGUGGAGAAAGAAGGGGCUCAUGACUCAGCAUGACAAGGAGAGGAACCUGAAAGAUAGGUAAAUGCAGGAGGGCAGCCUGAAAAAGGCUAAGAAAUGUUGGGUGUUGAAGUAUUUUUGUACCUAGCAGGAACCCUGCUUGUAAAGUGAGUAUGGUCAAGUUUUAUUAAAGAGGGUUUUUUUUUUUUUUUUUUUUUUUUUGGCAGGAGCUAGAAACAAGCUGCUUCUAUAGAAAUAAAGCACUUCCUUCUUGUGUAUUGUAUACCAUGCUGUCUACCCCUUCACAUUUUAAUGAAAGAGAGGACCGAUUAAUAUUCUUUCAUAUAUUUGUUGGAGUAGGAACUUAGAGCUGACAGUUACAGUUUCUGAGAGUUAAAAAAAUUAAAAACACUGUUUUGCCAAAGAUCAUAAUUGUUCUCUAACUCUUAUACAAGAUGAUUUUGGUAAGGAUAAAAAGGUUUCCACAGAGUAUUCAUGUUUGCAUGAGUGUUCAAAUGUAAAAUAUUCUAUAGAAAAGCAUCAGUAGGUAAUAGAUGCAGAUGAGCAGACUCAAAGCACACAUUCAUAAAACACAACAAAAAUCAUCCAGAUCACUUUGCAACAUCCCUAUACAUUGUGGACAAUACUAUGUUUUCAGAAACAAGUCCAAAUAACUAUUGGUGAUACCCUAAAGAAACAUCCUAGUCGACAUUAAGAAAACUCUUCAAAACACUAACAAAAUUUCUUCUAUCAAAUAAGGAGUCUGAAAUUAGGGAGCCUCAAGGGGGUUUCAGUUCUAACAUUCUGUAAGUCAAUGACUUUUAUUAGCCACUAAAAGCUGAAAUAUAGACUAAAUUCUCCUAAAAUUAAACAUUUGUUUAAAAAGACAAAUCAUAAAGAAUUCAGAAGGCUGUAAGUCUCUUUGGAGGCUGACAGAAGUGUGGCAUGUAGUUAUUAUCGAAGUCCAUGAGGGGACAAGAGUUCUGAGCAUUGUCUAUUUUGAGUGUCAACUAUGAGAAAGUCAAUCUGGCAAGCAUUUUAUAUACAUCAUCCUAUUUUAGAGUAAAAAUGAAGUUUUAGAAGUUUUAAGUAUCAGUGAGGCCCAGGAAACCACAAAUGUCACAUUCAUAUUCUCGAACAAUUUAAUCUGAAGCACUGACAAGCAUUAGGAGACAUUAAAUAAAGAGAAAUGGCAUUAAUAAUAACAGCCUGGAAUAUUAAAGCUGAGCUUGCUACAUGACCUGAGAUAGCUGGACUGUAUAGGUGCUGCAUGGAGUUGAUUUAGAUUCAUUCAACAAAGAAAGAGUGAAAUAUAUUGUUUAUAAUUCCCUGAAAAACACACACACACAUACACACACUUCAAAUAAUUGUAACUGUGAAAGCAAAAUAAAGAACUAAAAAAUCAUAAGCUUCAAACUUAAAUAAAACCAUGGGCCAUAAAAAAUUGAUUACAAGCCUGGAGAGAAAAGAAUCGUGCUGACAUAUGUGCUUUGUAACUUCCAUAAACUGUGCUGAGUAUUACUCAUUUCAGUAACAGAAGGAAGUAUACAAAGAACAGGUCUGUUAGGACUUUGGGGUGGGAUGUGUGUUAGUAAAAGACUUAGUUAAGAUUCCUUAGUUAAGAUUCUUUUUGCUUAUAUAAGCUCUUUUUCUUAUUAUCUUGGAUGAUAGCUUUUCCGUUUUAACAUUGACUGAGAAGGGGCAAAGGCUCUCAAAGUUAUUCACCUGAAACUACAAAAUGUAUUUAAAAGCAUAAGGAAUGUAACUUUUAACCAAGGCUCUAGGCUCUAGAUAUCACAAAGCCAGUUAGAUUCAAUGGCUUGUUAUGGUGAAUUUUAUCUACCCAGGCUGUAAACAAAGCCACCAGCUUAGUGAAUAUUAAUCCAUUACUUUAGGAAUAAUCUCGCUAGCCUUGUGUUAAUUCAACUUGUCACAUAGCCUAGUUUCUCUUCUUAGAUUGCUACUGCAUUUUGAGGCCGGCUUUUUUUAUUUUUAUUUUUUAUUUUUUUUGCAAACUACUGAAAUAAAGACUACAUCUAGCAGUUUCUCAGCCAAAUAUGACAUACAAUUUCAUCUUUCACAAUAGCCACAUGCGGCAACCUGGGCACAACAACCAAGAAUGGAAUACCUUGGUGAAAACUUCAGGUGGCCAGUGAGUCUAAAUAAAUGGGCAAAUAGUUUAGACUAUAUGUAAGGAAUUCUCAAAUAGUUCUAAGAAGAAAUCAAAUAAUAGCCAUCAUGCUUGAAUGACAUGGACAGGGCAGUUGUUUCUUUAUCUUGUGAUCCAACUUCCCCAUACGAAUGUGAAAGAAAGCAGUAUCAACAACAUAGUUUGUGAGGAAGGUGAAGUAAUGUCUACUACAAGAAAGAACAUUUUAAAAAUCAAGGAAGUAUCUCUGUCUCUAAUUCUCUUCCCAAGGGACAUUUUCUGAUUAAGUAAAAUCUCAUGCCUUAGUCAAAGAUAAUAUGUUAGAAAAGUACUGUGCUGAAAUUCAUGGUGUGAAAUUACAGACCAGCCCGAAUCAAAUAUUGUUAUUCAAUUUUAAAUAGCUUCAAUUACUAAGAGUUUGUAAUCAACAAAGAAAUAUAAUUUAACACUUAAUUUUCAUAUUUGAUAUGUAAAUAGGAGGAUUACUAACAAAUAUUCUAAUUAUUCUUUAUGAUUUACUAUUGGUCCAUGUUUAAUUAUGAAAUGUGUAACAAGAUAUCAUCCCAUCAGCUCUAUUGCUAUGCACUAUAUUUCCUGCAAAUAUAUUAGACAUGUUCUAUAGUUGAUGGACAUUAUGGUAGAUUCAACUCUGAUCAAUCACUGUUAUAUUUUCACUACCUGGAAAAUGACAAUAUUUACAGCUGUCUUCAUGCUUUUACUUAUACAUUAUAGAAAACAAGAAAGUGCUAUUUGAUAAUAAUUAGAUAGCAUCAAACAGAUUUUAGAGUAAUAUGAAACAGUGUAACAAUUUAGAAUGCUCUAUCUGGUGAUUUGUUAAACAUGCCAAUUUUGCUUGGUUAUAUGAAAGCAAUUUUCUUUAGUAUGAGUCAGAUUCUUUCCAGGGUACUCCAUGGAUCAGUGCAAUUUGUUGUACUACAUACAGAAAUGUUAAAUGACCUAUAUAAAGUUUAAUUUUGUAUGUCAACUUGGCUAGGAUAUGGUAACCAGAUAGUGUUCUAGAUGUUUCUGUAAAAGUAUAUUUAAAGAUGAGAUUAUAAUUUAAGUCAGUUGACUUUGAGUAAAACAGAUUACCCUCAUAAUGUGGAUGGGCCUCUCUGAAUUAGUGAAAAGCCUUAAUAAAAAAAGACUGAUGUCUCCUGAAGAAGAUGGAAUUCUGCCGGCAGGUUGCCUUAGGACUUGAACUGCUGCACUGGUUCUUCCUCCCCUGGGUCUCCAGCCUGCUGGCCUAUCCUGUAGAUUUUGGGCUUGCUAGUCUCUAUGGCUGCAUGAGCCAAUUCCUUAAAAUAAAUUUAUUUCUGUCUGUUUAUAUACAUCCUACUGUUCUCUUUCUCUAUAGAAGGCUAAUGCAAACUAUUUAUUGGAAUGAUAAAAGAUACCUUUAAAGUGUCUUAGAAAUACAUUAUUCUUGAAUGCCUUUGAUAUUUCUUGAAAUUUCAGGGAAUAAAAAAUAAUAUAGAAGCAAAAUUUUGAGGAAAAUAGCUCUUAGAUUUCAGCCUAUGUAGAUCAGAGUAAACUGAAUUCUACUUGUUCUGCAGAAGAAAAUAUGAGACAAAAAUUAAGAAAGAGGAAAAAAGUUUUAUUUCACACUGCAAAUUGUAAACAAGUUUCUCUAAUUAGCAUUAGAUUUUCUCUAUUGCUCAAUAAAAUGGUAAACAGGAAAGUUUUUGUUCUUUAGUUUCUUUUAAAAUUUUCUUAGUAAACAAAUAUUGUCAAUGGUGUAUACAUUUCCAGCAUCCUUUCCAGCAUCCUAUUUGCACUGCCAUUGUCCAUGUUUAAAAUUAAGGGAGGUGGUAGAAUGCAGUGAUUUAGAAUUAGGCUGCAGAUCUGCACUGUCGAACAUGGGAGGCACUACCGACGAGCAGCUAUUUACAUUAAAAGUAAUUUAACUAAAUAAAA